rnacentral:rRNA from 1 species
CCUACGGGAGGCAGCAGUGGGGAAUAUUGCACAAUGGGGGAAACCCUGAUGCAGCAACGCCGCGUGAGUGAUGACGGCCUUCGGUUUGUAAAGCUCUGUCUUCAGGGACGAUAAUGACGGUACCUGAGGAGGAAGCCACGGCUAACUACGUGCCAGCAGCCGCGGUAAUACGUAGGUGGCGAGCGUUGUCCGGAUUUACUGGGCGUAAAGGGAGCGUAGGCGGAUUUUUAAGUGAGAUGUGAAAUACUAGGGCUCAACUUGAGUGCUGCAUUUCAAACUGUAAGUCUGGAGUGCAGGAGAGGAGAAUGGAAUUCCUAGUGUAGCGGUGAAAUGCGUAGAGAUUAGGAAGAACACCAGUGGCGAAGGCGAUUCUCUGGACUGUAACUGACGCUGAGGCGCGAAAGCGUGGGGAGCAAACAGGAUUAGAUACCCUUGUAGUC